UACGGGGGGAGCAAGCGUUGUUCGGAUUUACUGGGCGUAAAGGGCGCGUAGGCGGUCGUGACAAGUCACUUGUGAAAUCUCCGGGCUUAACCCGGAGCGGUCAAGUGAUACUGUCGGACUAGAGUACAGAAGGGGCAACUGGAAUUCUCGGUGUAGCGGUGAAAUGCGUAGAUAUCGAGAGGAACACCUGCGGCGAAGGCGACUACCUGGCCUGUUCUUGACGCUGAGGCGCGAAAGCUAGGGGAGCAAACAGG
rnacentral:rRNA from 1 species